rnacentral:ncRNA from 1 species
CCGCCGGUACUCCUGCCUGAAUCCAUAGGGCAGUGAGAGGCAGACCGGGGGAACUGAAACAUCUUAGUACCCCGAGGAAGAGAAAGAAACCUCGAUUCCCCGAGUAGCGGCGAGCGAAACGGGAGAAGCCCAAACCGAAGGGAAUUCCCUUCGGGGUUGUGGGGCGUCCUGUAUGGAGUCAGAAAAGCGAAGCGUAGGCGAAGUGGCCUGGAACGGCCCGCCAGAGACGGUAACAGCCCGGUAGCCGAAACGCUUUGCUCUCCGGGACGGACCCCGAGUACCACGGGACACGUGAAACCCCGUGGGAAUCCGGGAGGACCACCUCCCAAGGCUAAAUACUCCCUGGCGACCGAUAGUGAACCAGUACCGUGAGGGAAAGGUGAAAAGCACCCCGGGAGGGGAGUGAAAGAGAACCUGAAACCGUGUGCUUACAAGCAGUCGGAGCCCUCUUGAAGGGUGACGGCGUGCCUUUUGUAGAAUGAACCGGCGAGUGACGACGGCCUGCAAGGUUAAGGCGAGAAGCCGGAGCCGCAGCGAAAGCGAGUCUGAACAGGGCGAG